rnacentral:tRNA from 1 species
AGUCUUAUAGUUUAAGAAAAAUAUUAAAUUGCAAAUUUAAUGAUAAUUUAUUUUAAGACUU